rnacentral:rRNA from 1 species
AAGAGGGAAGAGCUCAAAUUUAAAAUCUGGCAGUGUCCGAGUUGUAAUCUAGAGAAGUGCUGCCCGUGCUGGACCAUGUACAAGUCUCCUGGAAUGGAGCGUCACAGAGGGUGAGAAUCCCGUCUUUGACAUGGACUAGUGCAUUGUGGUGUGCUCUCAAAGAGUCGAGUUGUUUGGGAAUGCAGCUCUAAAUGGGUGGUAAACUCCAUCUAAAGCUAAAUAUUGGCGAGAGACCGAUAGCGAACAAGUACCGUGAGGGAAAGAUGAAAAGAACUUUGGAAAGAGAGUUAAACAGUAUGUGAAAUUGUUGAAAGGGAAACGCUUAAAGUCAGUCGUGUCGGCCAGGGAUCAAUGGGUGUACUUCCUGACUGAUGGGCCAACAUCAGUUUUGACUGCUGGAGAAGGAUAGAGGGAAUGUGGCACCGGGUGUGUUAUAGCUCUCUGUCAGAUGCAGUGGUUGGGACUGAGGAAGGCAGCACGCGGCCGGGUCGACCACGUUCGUGCUGAGGAUGUUGGCAAUGGCUUUAAUCGACCCGUCUUGAAACACGGACCAAGGAGUCUAACAUGCCUGCGAGUGUUUGGGUGGCAAACCCGAGCGCGGAAUGAAAGUGAAAGUUGAGAUCCAGGGAGCAUCGACGCCCGGACCUGAGCUUUUGCAAAGGAUCUGCGGUAGAGCAUGUAUGUUAGGACCCGAAAGAUGGUGAACUAUGCCUGAAUAGGGUGAAGCCAGAGGAAACUCUGGUGGAGGCUCG